GACAUAGGUGGCGAACGUUAUCCGGAUUUAUUGGGCGUAAAGGAUGCGUAGAUGGUAGGAUAAGUUAUUGGUCGAAGCCAAGCUCAACUUGACGGAAGCUGAUAAUACUGUUCUGCUUAGAGGAGAGGAGAGGUUAGUGGAAUUCUGUGUGUAGCGGUGAAAUGCGUUGAUCUACAGAGGAACACCAAAAAAAGGCGAAGGCAACUAACUAUUCUUUCCUGACAUUGAGGCAUGAAAGCGUGGGGAGCAAACCGG
rnacentral:rRNA from 1 species